AGCAUCUCAAUUGUUGUAUAAAGACAAAAAAGGAAUCCAGACAUGUCCUUUUUACACUUCCACCAAUGCAGUCAUUUUUGUUGUCUAUAUCAACAAAUUUUGCUUCUAUAGCAACUGAUACAGAAAAAUGAGACAUGAUAUAAAUUCAAUAAGAAGUAUUACUGUAUCACUAAUGAGGAAAGAAAUGAUGGCCUAAGAUUUUACAAAUGACACUACUUAUCAAAAAAAAGAUUUAACAAAUGACACUGCAUCAACAGAGCUGAAUGGCCAAAAAAAGGCAUGGUUAGGGACUAAGGCUCUAAUAAGACAAACUAAAGCUAUUUGAUAAUGAGGCAAAAACCAUAUUGAAAAUUGUACAGGACAUACAGAUUAUGCAAAAGUUUCUUUAGAUAUGACAAUAGUCAAAAGUGGAAUAGCAAAUUCAUCAGAAUGAUCCUUGCUAAUCAGGAGCUGCCCAUCUAUGCACAAUCAGACUCCCUCCACAUCUCUCAAGACAUGCACCAACAUCCAACUUAGCAACUUGCACAUGGCUUACAGCUUCACUUUUAUUGCAGCAUGAAAAUUAAGGGACUGGGAAUUUUGCCACCAUUUAGAAGGCCCUUCCACCAAACAACUAUUUGUGUGCCCACUUGCUGAAUGGCAUGAAAGCCCCUUCAUUACUCUCACUAGGGUGGGGAUGACUUGAACAAUACUGUACAGAUCCAAAAUUGAUUGCCAAAAUCAUUGCUCACCAACUGACAUCCUUUGACACUCCAUCUCACUGUUUUCAAUUUUUUUUGCCUUUUUGUAAUAGGAUGACCCAAACAUCUCUACCACUCAGCAAUGCAACACUCCCCACAUUCAGCUUAAAAUUUAGGUUAGGUCAAUUAAUUUCCUCUGCACUCAGUUAUUUAAAAAGUGAUUGACAAAUGAACAAGGGAAGCAAAAAUACAGAGUUGGAAUUUGACUUAUACUAAACACAGAUUUCCAUGGAACACUCAGAAGUCACAACCAGGACCUUAUCUUCCAUCUGAGAGUUUUCUAGCAUCUAGGCAAUGUUUUAAAAGGCUAUUGAGGCUCGCCUUAAGGCUAGGCUCUGCAAAUUAGCCUUGUAUAGCCUCAGUUAGGGUAAUUAAGGAUUAAGUCUCACUCUGUCAAGGCUUAUAGCUUUGAGGCUAAAGCAUCAAGGUUGUUGAGGCCUAAGCCUCAAAAAUUCAAAAGGUUUUAGGCCUUUGUGGGCUUUUGGUGUACAUUUUUUAAGAGACUUUAAGCCUCAAUAUUCAAUGAGUUUUAAUGGGUUCUAUCAUCUAUGCUAUUGUGGGGUUUUAAUAUAGAUUUCUUGAGUUUUGUAUUGGAUCCCAACUUGAUUAAACCUUUUUAGGAAAUAAGGGUUUAGUUAACUUCUCAGUUAACUUUUUAAAUGGAAGAGAAAAGGAGAGAUUGAGAAGAAAGAAUAGGGCAAUAGUUGGCUGUCCUAGUGGCAUAUGUCAAAUAUAAUCAUUAUAUUAUUAUUGAUAGAUGAUAAAAAUAUUACUGCAAUUGGUGGACAAAGGAAAAUAAAUAUUAUCAAGACCACCUUUAGCCUUUGUC
rnacentral:lncRNA from 1 species